rnacentral:rRNA from 1 species
UACGUAGGGUGCAAGCGUUGUCUGGAUUUAUUGGGUUUAAAGGGUGCGUAGGCGGCUUUGUAAGUCAGUGGUGAAAUACUCUAGCUUAACUAGAGGGGUGCCAUUGAUACUGCGGAGCUUGAGUACAGAUGAGGUAGGCGGAAUUGACGGUGUAGCGGUGAAAUGCAUAGAUAUCGUCAAGAACACCGAUAGCGAAGGCAGCUUACUGGGCUGUAACUGACGCUGAUGCACGAAAGUGUGGGGAUCAAACAGG